AGUGAAGGAGUCGUUUACAAAUGUAACUGAAUCACUGAAGGAGUCAUUUACAUUUAUAACAGAAUCAGUGAAGGAGUCGUUUACAAAUGUAAAUGAAUCACUGAAGGGGUCAUUUACAAAUGUAGGACAGGAAGUGUGGAGAAAGUGGGGGAUUCCGGGAUGGACAGACUCUCAGUGUGACUCUCAGUGUGAAAGACAGAAUGGAGUGAUGGUGAAGAAUGCAUGUCUCGGUUUUAAACACUUAGUAAGGGUUCAAUGUUCUCACUGUCUCUCAUCCUUCUUCACACUCUGUAAUGCUCCAACUGCUCAACUGCGUGACUCUCUCUCUCUCUCUCUCUGUGAGAUGAUGUGAGAUGGUUAAAUCUUUAGUGGAAUAUUGAGGAUUUUAGAUCAAAUGUUGCAGGUGUUUUUAAAUCAGUUUGAACAUAAAACUUUAAGAAAGUCAGAAUAUUUCUGCUGUGUUACCGUCACCUGACGUUAUGUUGAUAAAAAUGUUGUCUUUAAAAUAAAUCUGAUUAACACGCAGUUGUUCCCGAGUUAAUCUUUUUGCACAGUGCAUGUUUGAGAUGAUUCCAGAUAGAGAUGAGACAGAUGACGACACAGAUAGAGUUCUCCUUAAAGCCGAUGAUGUCACUGAGACAGAAACGUUCGAACAUAUCUCCUUUUGAGUUCAAUUUUAGAUGAAAAAGGAUUAAAACUUAUGAACACUGAGGCUUUGAGACAGUCUGAGACGUUCCCCUGAGAACCACAUCUUCCGCUGUGCUUCUACUUCUGCUGUCCUUUUUAUGUCUUCACUUAAAAUGUUCUGUUAUAAACGACAGUAUUUAUAAAAACAUUUACAGCAGACAAGCACUUAGAGAUUUGUGAACUCAUUUACUGAGCAGUGUGUGCAUGCGAGAUAUUUCUGGACUAUACAAAGAUAAAUUAUCCCCAAACAUGGCGGAAUUCAUUUACAAAAGUAAGCGGAUCAAUUAAGGAGUCGUUUAUAAUGUAAGUGAGUCACUCCAAAAGCCAUUUAAGGAUUCAUUCACAAUUGAAUUACUUUUCUACUUACUUAAAGAGUCUUUUUCAAAUAUGACUGCACUGUUUGAGAAGUCAUUUACACAAGUGCGUCACUUGAAGAGGCAUUUACAAAUGCUGAUGUUUGACGUUAAUUCGGAUGGUGUUGGCGUUUGAUGUUAAUUCGGAUGGUGUUUGAUGUUAAUUCGGAUGAUGUGGUGUAUGAUGUUAAUUUGGAUGGUGUUUGAGGUUAAUUAGGAUGGUGUUGGUGUUUGACGUUAAUUCCAAUGGGUGUUUCACGUUAAUUCCAAUGGUGUUGGUGUCUGAAACUGAAACAGCUUCACCUACAGAAAACGUCUCGUACAAGUGAGUCGACUCUCAGCGUGUGAACGACUCACCGAGCGACUCGUUCACAAACGACCCAUCACUAAUAUCCAGAUGUUUCCUCAUGCUCUCAGUCUGUCUGCGUGCUGGAAUAAUCUUUUACAUUCUUGGUAUUUACUCAGGCAGAACACAGGGACGUAUCGAUCUGUAAUACAUUCCUCUU
ensembl:lncRNA